GAUGAACGCUGGCGGCGUGCCUAAUACAUGCAAGUCGAGCGAACAGACGAGGAGCUUGCUCCUCUGACGUUAGCGGCGGACGGGUGAGUAACACGUGGAUAACCUACCUAUAAGACUGGGAUAACUUCGGGAAACCGGAGCUAAUACCGGAUAACAUGUUGAACCGCAUGGUUCAACAGUGAAAGACGGUUUUGCUGUCACUUAUAGAUGGAUCCGCGUCGCAUUAGCUAGUUGGUAAGGUAACGGCUUACCAAGGCAACGAUGCGUAGCCGACCUGAGAGGGUGAUCAGCCACACUGGAACUGAGACACGGUCCAGACUCCUACGGGAGGCAGCAGUAGGGAAUCUUCCGCAAUGGGCGAAAGCCUGACGGAGCAACGCCGCGUGAGUGAAGAAGGUCUUCGGAUCGUAAAACUCUGUUAUUAGGGAAGAACAAAUGUGUAAGUAACUAUGCACGUCUUGACGGUACCUAAUCAGAAAGCCACGGCUAACUACGUG
rnacentral:rRNA from 1 species